UACAUAGGGUGCGAGCGUUAUUCGGAUUUAUUGGGCGUAAAGAGCUCGUAGGCGGUUCAACAAGUCGGGUGUUAAACCCCCAGGCUCAACCUGGGGUCGCCACCCGAAACUGUUGUGACUAGAGUUUGGUAGGGGAUCACGGAAUUCCUGGUGUAGCGGUGGAAUGCGCAGAUAUCAGGAGGAACACCAGUAGCGAAGGCGGUGAUCUGGGCCAAUACUGACGCUGAGGAGCGAAAGCGUGGGGAGCGAACAGGAUUAGAUACCCUGGUAGUCCACGCCGUAAACGGUGGGCACUAGGUGUGGGGACUUUUCAACGGUUUCCGCGCCGCAGCUAACGCAUUAAGUGCCCCGCCUGGGGAGUACGGUCGCAAGACUAAAACU
rnacentral:rRNA from 1 species